CCUUAGAGCUACCCAAGAUUGGGAAAUUGACACAUUUAUAGAUUUCUUCAAUCUCAUACACAAUUGUAGAGUGUUUGGAGGAGCGGAUAAGAUGAUAUGGUCACCAUCCAAUUAGGGGAAAUUUACUGUACAGCUGUACUAUAAGUCUCUUAUGACACACUCUACAAGAAGCUUUCCAUGAAAGAACAUAUGGCAGACUAAGGACCCCCUAAAAGUUCCUUUUUUUUUUUUUUUUUUUUUUUGUGUGGACAGCUUCGUUAGGGAAGAUUCUUACCUUAGAUAAUCUAAGGAAAUGCCGCUUUAUUGUGUUGGAUUGGUGUUACAUGUGUAAGAAAAGUGGCGAGUCUGUGGAUCACCUAUUAUUGUAUUGUGACGGAGCCAUGAGUUUAUGGAAUGAUAUCUUUGCAAGGGUGGGGCUCAUUUGGGUAAUGCCAAGAAGGGUUGACUUUUUGGCCAGUUGGCAAGGCAUCCGAGGUAAUUCUCAAAUUGCAGCUAUGUGGAAGAUGAUACCAACCUACCUAUGGUGGUGCAUAUGGAUGGAGAGGAACAGUCGGAGCUUUGAGGAUCGUGAACGGACAAUGGAUGAGCUUAAAA